rnacentral:rRNA from 1 species
GACGAACGCUGGCGGCGUGCCUAAUACAUGCAAGUCGAGCGGACGGAUGGGAGCUUGCUCCCAGACCGUCAGCGGCGGACGGGUGAGUAACACGUGGGCAACCUGCCUGUAAAACUGGGAUAACUCCGGGAAACCGGGGCUAAUACCGGAUAACUCUUUCCCUCACAUGAGGGAAAGCUGAAAGAUGGCAUCUCGCUAUCACUUACAGAUGGGCCCGCGGCGCAUUAGCUAGUUGGUGAGGUAACGGCUCACCAAGGCGACGAUGCGUAGCCGACCUGAGGGGGUGAUCGGCCACACUGGGACUGAGGAACGGCCCAGACUCCUACGGGAGGCAGCAGUAGGGAAUCUUCCGCAAUGGACGAAAGUCUGACGGAGCAAAGCCGCGUGAAUGAUGAAGGUUUUCGGAUCGUAAAACUCUGUUGUCAGGGAAGAACAAGUACCGGAGUAACUGCCGGUACCUUGACGGUACCUGACCAGAAAGCCACGGGUAACUACGUG